rnacentral:rRNA from 1 species
UACGGAGGGUGCGAGCGUUGUCCGGAAUCAUUGGGCGUAAAGGGCGCGUAGGUGGCCCGGUCAGUUCGUGGUGAAAGCGCGGGGCUCAACCCUGCGUCGGCCAUGAAUACUGCCGCGGCUGGAGCACUGUAGAGGCAGGCGGAAUUCCGGGUGUAGCGGUGGAAUGCGUAGAGAUCCGGAAGAACACCGGUGGCGAAGGCGGUUCUCUGGGCAUGUCCUGACGCUGAGGAGCGAAAGUGUGGGGAGCGAACAGG